GACGAACACUGGCGGCGUGCUUAACACAUGCAAGUCGAACGGUGAAGCGCCUUCCUUUUUGGUGGGUGUGGAUGAGUGGCGAACGGGUGAGUAACACGUGAGUAACCUGCCCCCUUCUUCUGGAUAACCGCAUGAAAGUGUGGCUAAUACGGGAUAUUCUGGGUCUGUCGCAUGAUGGGUCUGGGAAAGAUAUUGUUUCGGUGGGGGAUGGGCUCGCGGCCUAUCAGCUUGUUGGUGGGGUGAUGGCCUACCAAGGCGGUGACGGGUAGCCGGCCUGAGAGGGUGGACGGUCACACUGGGACUGAGACACGGCCCAGACUCCUACGGGAGGCAGCAGUGGGGAAUAUUGCACAAUGGGCGCAAGCCUGAUGCAGCGACGCCGCGUGAGGGAUGGAGGCCUUCGGGUUGUGAACCUCUUUCGCCAGUGAAGCAGGCCUGCCUCGUUUGUGGGUGGGUUGACGGUAGCUGGAUAAGAAGCGCCGGCUAACUACGUG
rnacentral:rRNA from 1 species